rnacentral:rRNA from 1 species
UUGACCUCAGAUCAGGUAGGACUACCCGCUGAACUUAAGCAUAUCAAUA